AUGGAACUGAAGGACAAGAGCAGAGCAGCAGACUUGAGCACCUGCACACAAACAGCCCCAAGAGCUGGCCCCAGGUGUAUCCUUCUGCCUAAGGAAUCAGAGUAGACCUUGGCACAUCUGAGGACCUUUAAUUGGAUUCGAAAAAUGACCAAUAUAUUUUUUUGUUGUUCCCAAGAAAGGUCUGAUUUUUUGCUUGGGAUCACCCCAUUUGUGUGUUUCUAAGUUAUUAACCUGGCUGUACCUGUGUGAUGAGUCCUGGGCUGGAAAUGCUGGUCCUCUUUGAGCAGUGAGGCUCCUCUCUGUAGGUGGUGUGAAUCAAGGUCAGGCCCUGGAGUGGGCAGACGGAUUUCUUUCUGUCCCUGUUGGUGCAGAGCAGGGCACUGAGAAUUUCACCUGAGCCGGGCAAGGCUCCUAGGCCACCUACACACCAGGAGAUCGCACAAGGAAAUUCCUUGUGUGUUUUCCAGCUACACCCUUUUCACAGUGAUGGAUGUCUUGGUGCAGCCCAGGUCUGGACAUUUAUAGCACUGCGUGAUCUCCAUGCUACUGGAGGAGCUGGUGAGGCUCCAUGACUGGAAAAGCAGGUGACCAGCUAACCUUCAUCCUGGGGAAACCACUGGCGGUGGCAGGGACUGGCUGCAGGAGAAGCACGUUUGUGGGUGAGGGUCGGGCUGGGCAGCUCUUUGCAGAGGAGAGUUCCUAUGGAAUAUAUGCAUCACAGCUACUUAAAAGUUGGACAGUAAGAGCAGAAAUGUCAACUAAAGGACAUUAUUCAGUACGAAACAUCUGCACCAAGUUGUGGAAUCAUGCAGAUGGUGUUCAAACAAAUCAAGAAGCUGAAGCUAAAAAACCACCCUGA
rnacentral:lncRNA from 1 species